UUGAAUCUAUAUAUUCAAUCUAACUAGCUAAUGGACGUAUGUCAGCGUCUCUAGCUGUACACUCUAACUAGUCUCUUCUCCAGCGUCAUUUCUGUUGCUGUGUCGAUCGCUGUGUAGACUGACUGGACUGGUAUAUAUCAGAUUGGAGGUACAUAUUUAAUAUAAAAGGAAAUAUAAAUAGAUCAUGGAUGACAAAUCUAACCAUAUAUGAUUUGUAGGACAUACAUGCAGCUUGUUAGUUAGAUCGAUCUUCUUCUGCUGCCAGCCUGAGCCCAACAUAUUUUCUGCUGCCAGACCUUAUCAAAAUACAAUUACUUUCUCAAAUUAAUUGUUAAAUCAGUAUUCGGAUCUCCAUUUAUCCGACCCGACUACCUUUCUACUGCAGUUUUUAAAGUUCGAUAUUUUUAUAACAAAAUAUAUAUAUAUUGCUUCUCAUAACAUUUGUAUUAAAAUCGACUUUCUAAUUACUAUUAUAUUCAUCUUAUUUAUAGAGUUAACUACUAACCAUACAAUUAUCUAAUUUUGGCUUCUUUCAUCAUUACAAG
rnacentral:lncRNA from 1 species